rnacentral:rRNA from 1 species
UUGAACGCUGGCGGCAGGCCUAACACAUGCAAGUCGAACGGUAACAGGAAACAGCUUGCUGUUUCGCUGACGAGUGGCGGACGGGUGAGUAAUGUCUGGGAAACUGCCUGAUGGAGGGGGAUAACUACUGGAAACGGUAGCUAAUACCGCAUAACGUCGCAAGACCAAAGAGGGGGACCUUCGGGCCUCUUGCCAUCGGAUGUGCCCAGAUGGGAUUAGCUUGUUGGUGGGGUAACGGCUCACCAAGGCGACGAUCCCUAGCUGGUCUGAGAGGAUGACCAGCCACACUGGAACUGAGACACGGUCCAGACUCCUACGGGAGGCAGCAGUGGGGAAUAUUGCACAAUGGGCGCAAGCCUGAUGCAGCCAUGCCGCGUGUAUGAAGAAGGCCUUCGGGUUGUAAAGUACUUUCAGCGGGGAGGAAGGGAGUAAAGUUAAUACCUUUGCUCAUUGACGUUACCCGCAGAAGAAGCACCGGCUAACUCCGUGCCAGCAGCCGCGGUAAUACGGAGGGUGCAAGCGUUAAUCGGAAUUACUGGGCGUAAAGCGCACGCAGGCGGUUUGUUAAGUCAGAUGUGAAAUCCCCGGGCUCAACCUGGGAACUGCAUCUGAUACUGGCAAGCUUGAGUCUCGUAGAGGGGGGUAGAAUUCCAGGUGUAGCGGUGAAAUGCGUAGAGAUCUGGAGGAAUACCGGUGGCGAAGGCGGCCCCCUGGACGAAGACUGACGCUCAGGUGCGAAAGCGUGGGGAGCAAACAGGAUUAGAUACCCUGGUAGUCCACACCGUAAACGAUGAUUACUAGGUGUUGGAGGAUUGACCCCUUCAGUGCCGCAGUUAACACAAUAAGUAAUCCACCUGGGGAGUACGACCGCAAGGUUGAAACUCAAAGGAAUUGACGGGGGCCCGCACAAGCGGUGGAGCAUGUGGUUUAAUUCGAUGCAACGCGAAGAACCUUACCUGGUCUUGACAUCCACGGAAGUUUUCAGAGAUGAGAAUGUGCCUUCGGGAACCGUGAGACAGGUGCUGCAUGGCUGUCGUCAGCUCGUGUUGUGAAAUGUUGGGUUAAGUCCCGCAACGAGCGCAACCCUUAUCCUUUGUUGCCAGCGGUCCGGCCGGGAACUCAAAGGAGACUGCCAGUGAUAAACUGGAGGAAGGUGGGGAUGACGUCAAGUCAUCAUGGCCCUUACGACCAGGGCUACACACGUGCUACAAUGGCGCAUACAAAGAGAAGCGACCUCGCGAGAGCAAGCGGACCUCAUAAAGUGCGUCGUAGUCCGGAUUGGAGUCUGCAACUCGACUCCAUGAAGUCGGAAUCGCUAGUAAUCGUGGAUCAGAAUGCCACGGUGAAUACGUUCCCGGGCCUUGUACACACCGCCCGUCACACCAUGGGAGUGGGUUGCAAAAGAAGUAGGUAGCUUAACCUUCGGGAGGGCGCUUACCACUUUGUGAUUCAUGACUGGGGUG